AUUGAACGCUGGCGGCAGGCCUAACACAUGCAAGUCGAGCGGUAGCACAGAGAGCUUGCUCUCGGGUGACGAGCGGCGGACGGGUGAGUAAUGUCUGGGAAACUGCCUGAUGGAGGGGGAUAACUACUGGAAACGGUAGCUAAUACCGCAUAACGUCGCAAGACCAAAGAGGGGGACCUUCGGGCCUCUUGCCAUCAGAUGUGCCCAGAUGGGAUUAGCUGGUAGGUGGGGUAACGGCUCACCUAGGCGACGAUCCCUAGCUGGUCUGAGUGGAUGACCAGCCACACUGGAACGGAGACACGGUCCAGACUCCUACGAGAGGCAGCAGUGGGGAAUAUUGCACAAUGGGCGCAAGCCUGAUGCAGCCAUGCCGCGUGUAUGAAGAAGGCCUUCGGGUUGUAAAGUACUCUCAGCGGGGAGGAAGGCGGUGAAGUUAAUAGCUUCAUCGAUUGACGUCACCCGCAGAAGAAGCACCGGCUAACUCCGUGCCAGCCGCCGCAGUAA
rnacentral:rRNA from 1 species